rnacentral:misc_RNA from 1 species
GAUGAAGAACGUAGCGAAAUGCGAUAAGUAAUGUGAAUUGCAGAAUUCAGUGAAUCAUCGAAUCUUUGAACGCACAUUGCGCCCCUUGGUAUUCCGAGGGGCAUGCCUGUUCGAGCGUCAUUAUAACCCCUCAAGCUCAGCUUGGUGUUGGGGCCUGCUGCACUGGCAGCCCUUAAAAUCAGUGGCGGCGCCAUCUGGCUCUAAGCGUAGUAAUUCUUCUCGCUAUGGAGUCAUGGUGGAUGCUUGCCAUCAACCCCCAAUUUUUCUAUGGUUGACCUCGGAUCAGGUAGGGAUACCCGCUGAACUUAAGCAUAUCAAUAAGCGGAGGA